rnacentral:lncRNA from 1 species
AUCCGACUGAUUAAAUUUAGAUCAACACAUCAACAUGUCUAGCUAUCCUAGUUGGCAUGGGUAAACUUGAGUCAACAAAUAACCUAACAUGAAAUUGAAUCUCCCAAAAUGGCCAGAUAAGUUAAGAUGCGUGGAAGUCCCCCCGCUGCUUUUCUUAGACAUCAAUCAAAAUUAGUCAAGUUAGACAAUGGAACCACUUAAAUAACCACAUCUA